rnacentral:rRNA from 1 species
UUUAUUGGAGAGUUUGAUCCUGGCUCAGGAUGAACGCUGGCGGCGUGCCUAAUACAUGCAAGUCGAGCGAAUGGAUUGAGAGCUUGCUCUCAAGAAGUUAG